AUUGAACGCUGGCGGCAUGCCUUACACAUGCAAGUCGAGCGGAAAAAGGCCGCUUGCUCCUGAAUAGUGCGGCAGACGUGUGUGAAGCACCUGGGCAUGUGCCUAGUAGGGGGAUAUCACGGCCGGAGACGUGCUCUAAUACCUCAUACGCCCUGAGUGAGAGAGGGGGGGAUCUCCGGACCUUAUGCCCUCGUACCAUCCGAGCUCGCAAUGUCGGGUUAGGUAGUUGGGGGCGUAACGGCCUACCAAGCCGACGAUCUGUAGCUGGUCUGAGAGGACGAUCAGACACACUGGAACUGAGACACGGUCCAGACUCCUACGGGAGGCAGCAGUGGGGAAUUUUGGACAAUGGGCGCAAGCCUGAUCCAGCCAUGCCGCGUGUGUGAAGAAGGUCUUCGGAUUGUAAAGCGCUUUUAGUUGGAAGGAAGAGCAGCAAGUUAAUACCUUGGUCUUAUGACGUUACCAAAAGAAUAAGCACCGGCUAACUACGUG
rnacentral:rRNA from 1 species